UGUAGGAGCUGGCUUGCCUGCGAUAGCGGCGGUGAAUUCAACAUCGCUAUCGCAGGCAAGCCAGCUCCCACA
rnacentral:misc_RNA from 1 species